rnacentral:rRNA from 1 species
GGGCCCGCACAAGCAGCGGAGCGUGUGGUUUAAUUCGAGGCUACACGAAGCACCUUACCUGGGCUUGACAUGGUUGUGAACGAGGCGGAAACGCCGAGGGCCGCAAGGCACAAUCACAGGUGCUGCAUGGCUGUCGUCAGCUCGUGCCGUGAGGUGUUAGGUUAAGUCCUGUAACGAGCGCAACCCCUGGGUCCAGUUACACGUUGUCUGGACCGACUGCCCGCGACAAGCGGGAGGAAGGUGGGGAUGAUGUCAAGUCAGCAUGGCCUUUAUGUCCAGGGCUACACACACGCUACAAUGGCCGGUACAAUGGGUUGCCAAGCCGCAAGGCGGCGCCAAUCCUAUCAAAGCCGGUCACAGUUCGGAUUGUGGGCUGCAACCCGCCCACAUGAAGUCGGAGUUGCUAGUAACCGCGCGUCAGCCAUAGUGCGGUGAAUACGUUCCCGGGCCUU